UACGAAGGGGGCUAGCGUUGCUCGGAAUCACUGGGCGUAAAGGGUGCGUAGGCGGGUCUUUAAGUCAGGGGUGAAAUCCUGGAGCUCAACUCCAGAACUGCCUUUGAUACUGGGGAUCUCGAGUCCGGGAGAGGUGAGUGGAACUGCGAGUGUAGAGGUGAAAUUCGUAGAUAUUCGCAAGAACACCAGUGGCGAAGGCGGCUCACUGGCCCGGAACUGACGCUGAGGUGCGAAAGCGUGGGGAGCAAACAGGG
rnacentral:rRNA from 1 species